GGUCGGUCUGUGUGAAAAACCUUCAGUGAACAAACCAGGCCUUGUAGGUUCAGAUGAUUUACUUCAAAAGGUCAUACGACCCAGUGGUUAUGAAUGACAAGACACAGGCAAACUAUCUCCAUAAGCAAAAGGAAAGGAUUUUCCCUCGACUCCUGACUUCAUUGCUCCUUCCAAAGAAGAAGAGUUGUAGAAAAGCAUGAGAACAGAAAUGUUACUAAAAUUCAGUGUUCAGCAAGAAUACCCAAGUACAACGAACCUCCCUGAACCGCCAACGAAUUCAUAUCCAAUGGGAAAGCAGUCAAGGAGAAUCAAGAAGUGACCGUGCAAGGUGCUGACCUUAUAGAGAACCACGAGCAAGCUGGCAAGGGUGACACGGGCCUAUUAUUCCAGACCUGGGACAAAGCUUUAGACUUCAUGGAGCCUCAUCCCCUACUCUUCUCAACCAGAAACCAAACUGCAUUAAUAUAAAGUGCAUCAAGGCCGGGCGGUGGUGGCGCACGCCUUUAAUCCCAGCACU